rnacentral:rRNA from 1 species
AGUGAACGCUGGCGGUAGGCCUAACACAUGCAAGUCGAACGGCAGCACAGUAAGAGCUUGCUCUUACGGGUGGCGAGUGGCGGACGGGUGAGGAAUACAUCGGAAUCUACUUUUUCGUGGGGGAUAACGUAGGGAAACUUACGCUAAUACCGCAUACGACCUACGGGUGAAAGCAGGGGAUCUUCGGACCUUGCGCGAUUGAAUGAGCCGAUGUCGGAUUAGCUAGUUGGCGGGGUAAAGGCCCACCAAGGCGACGAUCCGUAGCUGGUCUGAGAGGAUGAUCAGCCACACUGGAACUGAGACACGGUCCAGACACCUACGGGAGGCAGCAGUGGGGAAUAUGGGACAAUGGGCGCAAGCCUGAUCCAGCCAUACCGCGUGGGUGAAGAAGGCCUUCGGGUUGUAAAGCCCUUUUGUUGGGAAAGAAAAGCAGCAGGUUAAUACCCCGCUGUUCUGACGGUACCCAAAGAAUAAGCACCGGCUAACUUCGU